rnacentral:rRNA from 1 species
CCUACGGGAGGCAGCAGUAGGGAAUUUUCGUCAAUGGGCGCAAGCCUGAACGAGCAAUGCCGCGUGAACGAGGAAGGUCUUCGGAUCGUAAAGUUCUGUUGGAGGGGAAAAAGAGCGGAGAGAGGAAAUGCUUUCUGAUUGAUAUUACCCUUCGAGGAAGUCACGGCUAACUACGUGCCAGCAGCCGCGGUAAUACGUAGGUGGCGAGCGUUAUCCGGAAUGAUUGGGCGUAAAGGGUGCGUAGGCGGCCUGAUAAGUCUGGCGUGAAAUGUACCGGCUCAACCUGUACAGGGUAUGGGAACAGGGGGGGUAGGGGGCAGGAGAGGGCGGGGGAAAUGCAUGGGUAACGGGAGAAUGGGGAGGUAUAUGGGAGAACAUCAGUGGCGAAGGCGGCCGCCUGGCCUGAUGACUGACGCUGAGGCACGAAAGCGUGGGGAGCAAAUAGGAUUAGAUACCCUAGUAGUC